CCAGGGGGUGGCUGGGCUCCUUCUCCCCCGCUCCGAGGGGGAAGGGGAGCCCUGCAGCCCCCCAGCUCUGCCUAGGGCAGAGUUAGAGACAGCAUUGGAGUGAGUGAGUGUUUGUGAGGGACGUGACUCACAAACAACUGGUAAGCGAGAGAGAGAGAGAGGCAGGCCUUGCGACCAGGCCUUCUUCUUCUUCCCCCCCCCUUUUUGCAGCCAGGCUGCAGAAGGGGCUGUUUUUCCUCUCACUGUUUAGUGGGAGUGGUGCAAGGCUCAGCAUUGAAGCAGAGCCAAGUGGACGGGCUGAUAAUGGAGCAGCUCGGCGCUAGGGAAAAGAAUCCCAGGCGAAAUUGGAGACAGGCCAAAGGGCUCGGGAAUUGCCCUACAGAGAUUUGACCAGGGGCAGCCGAAAACUGACUUGGAGGAAUGAAGAUUCCAAACGCCUACUGUGAUAAGCUACACUACAGCAGCAGUGAACCGAGGUAUGAGACUGAGAGGGAGAGAUCACACAGCAGAAAUGACACAGGACCAAGGAGAAAGGACUCAGAGCUACCUUCUUGGACUUGUGAAAAUUGGGUCACUUAUGAAGAGUCUUAGAGACUCCAUCUCACCUUCCUGUCCUGCUGGAGAUGGUUCAAACACAAAUCUCUCACCUUUCCUCCAUAUGAGAGGCUCAGCCACUGUGAUGCUGGUACAGGAGCUGGAGUGUGGUGUGAGUGGGCAGAAAGUGUCUGUUGUCUCUCUAACUGAAGCUGUUCCACUGAACAGAAAAACCUUCUCAAAUAAACAGAUCAACAAGACCUUGUAUCCUCUGGUAGUUUUUACAGUCACCUAGCAGAAAUCUGCAUACCAACCCUUCACCAACAUGCAUUUGCAUGCCUUUAUAUGGAAAAAUCAUUGGAAAAUAUAUUAAAAAAUCUGACCCUGUGA